AGAGUUUGAUCCUGGCUCAGGACGAACGCUGGCGGCGCGCUUAACACAUGCAAGUCGAGCGAGAACCGGUCCUUCGGGACCGGGGACAGCGGCGAACGGGUGAGUAACACGUGAGUAAUCCACCCUCGGCACCGGGAUAGCCCGGGGAAACCCGGAUUAAUACCGGAUGGCCCAGCAGCUCUUAGGGGCGGCUGGAAAAGGUAGCUUCGGCCUCCGGCCGAGGACGAGCUCGCGGCGGAUUAGCUUGUUGGUGGGGUAAUGGCCUACCAAGGCGACGAUCCGUAGCUGGUCUGAGAGGACGAUCAGCCACACUGGGACUGAGACACGGCCCAGACUCCUACGGGAGGCAGCAGUGGGGAAUCUUGCGCAAUGGGCGAAAGCCUGACGCAGCGACGCCGCGUGAGGGAAGAAGGCUUUCGGGUUGUAAACCUCUUUCAGGAGGGACGAAGCCACUCGGGUUAAUAGCCCAGAGGGUGACGGUACCUCCAGAAGAAGCCCCGGCUAACUACGUGCCAGCAGCCGCGGUAAUACGUAGGGGGCAAGCGUUGUCCGGAUUUAUUGGGCGUAAAGAGCGUGUAGGCGGCCAGAUAGGUCCGUUGUGAAAACUCGAGGCUCAACCUCGAGACGCCGAUGGAAACCAUUUGGCUAGAGUCCGGAAGAGGAGAGUGGAAUUCCCGGUGUAGCGGUGAAAUGCGCAGAUAUCGGGAAGAACACCCGUGGCUAAGGCGGCUCUCUAGUACGGUACUGACGCUGAGACGCGAAAGCGUGGGGAGCGAACAGGAUUAGAUACCCUGGUAGUC
rnacentral:rRNA from 1 species